ensembl:lncRNA
AUGGAGAGGAUGGAGGUGGACCAGUGCGCAGGCGCAGGAGGAGCCCUCCGAAGGUCCAACAGCGCCCCCAUGAUCACGAACGUCAGUGAUGGGACGACAGUAUUCAGCUCUAAUAGUUCGGCUCGGUAUCGUCGGAGCAGCGUUUCUGUGAACCCGAGCUGUCCCUCACGGAUCCUUCCUCUGUCCCCAUUCUCGCUGUCUUGUGAGAGAUCCGAACACAAGAGACAGAUUGAGAAUAUGGAACUCACUUUGAGAGGAAGUUUACAGAGACUAAGUGCCUCGCCUGCUGUUCACUUCCCUCCUGCGAGUCAUUGGCAUGACCAUCUGUCUCCAGGAUUCCAUUCCCAGGACAGCGGUGUCACUCCUAAUUCCUCACCCAGUCCAACUCGAAGGUUUCGAGGAGGAUCCGUGAGCUCUGGAGUGAGAUGGCCAUCAGUUGCACCUUUGAAAAGGAAAGGUGGAGUGGAAUCGGACGGUCCGCCCAAAAAGCUCUUUGUUGCUGGAGUCACAGACCCUGCUCACAUAACCAGUUACACAGUCAGUGUUUCCCAGCCAGUGGACUCCUCUUCUGGGACUGCUCCUGUUGGUUCAAACACCCAGGCCACCCCCCUGUCCCUCUCCCCUCCGCCCCCCUUCACCUCUCACCACCCCAGCAUCUAAACCCCAGUAUUCAUCACAUCAUCACCUUGUAGAGCUUCGGAUGCAAGGUGUUGUAAAAUGAAGACCAAACUUCAGCCUAAUCUCAUUUCUAUCCCUUUUUGUUUUCUGCUUUUAAUUUGGUGCUUUGAAUAGAGUAUUUCAGCUCAAUCACUUCUGAAGGAAAUUCAAACUAGUUGUUACUUUGGUAUCAAGAUGCAAUAUAAGAAGACAAAAUCUUCUGGAUGUAUCUGACAUGUCAACGUGGAUGCUGCAGGCUAUCGUGUAAUUUGUGAAUAAUUAUGGAACUUUGUUUGCUGUAUAUAUGAAAUAGUAUCUGCAAUAACACAUUUGCAAUGAAAGUGUUCAGGUAGUUGAAACCUGGCGAAUACUGACACAAAGACCCUUUCCUUAGUGUACAGACUCAAAAGAAAGACCAGUUUUGCUCCUUUUCGUUUUCCUCGAGUUGUGGCAAAACAUUUUUGUAUUUUGGUACAUCUUCAGCUUCCAUUAACAGGGUCCAAUGUUCUGGUAAAACGUCCAGAAUGUGUAGAAAAAAGGACUGAGGAAUAGAGAGUAUUAAAAUCAGUUGGCCAUAGAUGUCAACUUUUUGUAUAAAUGUAUAUAAAUAUGUGAAUAAUCGAAUAUUAUUUUGGUAGGUAUUAAUCUUGUGUUUCGAGGGGUCUGAUGUCUGUAAAAAUGUUUAUUUUUUCCAUAUAGCUUUUAGCUUGGACUGAACUUUUUGAGUUUGAAAAAAAUUCUUUAAAUCAUUGGAAACGAUACCAGCGCGUUCAGGCAACUCCCAUAUUUUGAUUCGCUUAUCGCUUACUUUGAAACAAUAAAAUAAAACGUACUGUAAAGACUAGAUGUCUC